rnacentral:rRNA from 1 species
GAUGAACGCUGGCGGCGUGCCUAAUACAUGCCAGUCGAGCGAACAGACGAGGAGCUUGCUCCUUUGACGUUAGCGGCGGACGGGUGAGUAACACGUAGAUAACCUACCUAUAAGACUGGGAUAACUUCGGGAAACCGGAGCUAAUACCGGAUAAUAUUUCGAACCGCAUGGUUCAAUAGUGAAAGAUGGCUUUGCUGUCACUUAUAGAUGGACCUGCGCCGCAUUAGCUAGUUGGUAAGGUAACGGCUUACCAAGGCAACGAUGCGUAGCCGACCUGAGAGGGUGAUCGGCCACACUGGAACUGAGACACGGUCCAGACUCCUACGGGAGGCAGCAGUAGGGAAUCUUCCGCAAUGGGCGAAAGCCUGACGGAGCAACGCCGCGUGAGUGAUGAAGGUCUUCGGAUCGUAAAACUCUGUUAUUAGGGAAGAACAAAUGUGUAAGUAACUGUGCACGUCUUGACGGUACCUAAUCAGAAAGCCACGGCUAACUACGUG